rnacentral:rRNA from 1 species
UGCGCUUGCAAUCAGCAAAAGAGGACGGCAAUCCAUCAAGACUCCUUCUCACGUUUGACCUCGGAUCAGGUAGGGAUACCCGCUGAACUUAAGCAUAUCAAUAAGCGGAGGAAAAGAAACCAACAGGGAUUGCCCUAGUAACGGCGAGUGAAGCGGCAACAGCUCAAAUUUGAAAUCUGGCUCUUUCAGAGUCCGAGUUGUAAUUUGCAGAGGGCGCUUUGGCUUUGGCAGCGGUCCAAGUUCCUUGGAACAGGACGUCACAGAGGGUGAGAAUCCCGUACGUGGUCGCUAGCUAUUGCCGUGUAAAGCCCCUUCGACGAGUCGAGUUGUUUGGGAAUGCAGCUCUAAAUGGGAGGUAAAUUUCUUCUAAAGCUAAAUAUUGGCCAGAGACCGAUAGCGCACAAGUAGAGUGAUCGAAAGAUGAAAAGCACUUUGGAAAGAGAGUCAAACAGCACGUGAAAUUGUUGAAAGGGAAGCGCUUGCAGCCAGACUUGCUUGCAGUUGCUCAUCCGGGCUUUUGCCCGGUGCACUCUUCUGCAGGCAGGCCAGCAUCAGUUUGGGCGGUGGGAUAAAGGUCUCUGUCACGUACCAUCCUUCGGGAUGGCCAUAUAGGGGAGACGUCAUACCACCAGCCUGGACUGAGGUCCGCGCAUCUGCUAG